GACGAACGCUGGCGGCGUGCCUAAUACAUGCAAGUCGAGCGCUGAAGGUUGGUACUUGUACCGACUGGAUGAGCAGCGCACGGGUGAGUAACGCGUGGGGAAUCUGCCUUUGAGCGGGGGACAACAUUUGGAAACGAAUGCUAAUACCGCAUAAAAACUUUAAACACAAGUUUUAAGGGUGAAAGACGCAAUUACAUCACUCAAUGAUGAUCUCGCGUUGUAUUAGCUAGUUGGUGAGGUAAAGGCGCACCAAGGCGAGGAUACAUAGCCAACCUGAGAGGGCGGUCAGCCGGAUUGGGACGGAGACACGCCCCAAACGCCUACGGGAAGCGGCAGGAGGGAUACGUCAGCAAGGGACGGAAGUCUGUGCGAGCAACGCCGAGGGAGUGAAGAGGGAUGUCGGAUCGUAAAACUCGGUUGGUAGGGAAGAACGUGGGUGAGCGUGGAAAGCUCAUCAAGUGACGGUAACUACUCAGAAAGGAACGGCUAACUACGUG
rnacentral:rRNA from 1 species